rnacentral:SRP_RNA from 1 species
CGGGUCCCAUGCAAUUUGCGGACGCGCAAACCCCGCCAGGUUCGGAAGAAAGCAACGGUAGCGACGCCCCAGAUGUGCCGUGGCAAACC